rnacentral:lncRNA from 1 species
CAGAGAGAGAGAGAGAGAGAGAGCACAGAGUGAGAGUGAGAGAGAGAGAGAGGCAGACUCCCCACUGAGCAGAGAGCCUGACGUGGGGCUCGAUCCCAGGACCCCCAGAUCAUGACCUGAACGGAAGGCAGACGCCCAACCACCUAAGCCACCCAGGCGCCCCAAAAGGUCCCUAUUUGUGGCAAAAUAUCUUGACUACUUCCGGUAGCUAGUCUGGAUCAUUUUUAUAGAUUAUCUGGAAAAUAAUGAAAAUAGGAUUUUAACAUUAGUAAGAGCCCAAGGAGGAGACUUUCAUUUAAAUCAGGACUCAGGGAGAACCCUGGUGGUACAGAUGAAAUGUUUUUACUGGGAAAGCAGGCCUAAAACCAGGCCAAGAGGACUUGUUGGGCCAGGGCCUUGUUGAAGGUGGGGAGAAGAGCGUUGCUGACUUAGGAGGAGCCGGGGCGAAGGCCCUUUGAUGACUCUAUUGUUCCAAGCGCUGCCCUACGAAUAGCGCAAGCCUCCCAGCCUCCUCCGCAAGGGCAGAGCGGGAAACUGGGUCGGUUGCGCGGCGCUCGAGGUAGUCGAGCUGGCACCAACCUCCCUCCGCCUCGUCUGCGGCCCCCUGGGGCAGCAACGACGCGCCAUUCCCGUCGCAGGCACAGAACACACAAAGGAAGCCCCCACCCGUCCUCAGACGUGGGGACACUCUGGGAAGGAGGCUGGCGUGGACCCCGAGUCUGAGCACCUCCCUCGCCCGCGGGGAACAAUAGCCGCCGCCUGCCCCGGGCAGCCCGGCGGUCGCGCGGCACAAUGGCCGUCUCGGGGCCGCGCCAGCAUGUGACGCGCGCGCGCUCGGCGCUCGCCCGGCCUGCCGCAGGGCGCAGUCAGCACAGAGCCGGAGCCGCCGGGCCGCGGCCAGGCUGCCGGAAUCCACCUGGCACACUUUCGGAAAGACAAACGCGGUUCCUCCUACUUCAGAGCCCCAAGUCUGGGCCAGCUGGGAGCCGACCCGAAACCGCAAGCGGAGACGCAGGCACGCGGGGUGAGCGCUCACGGAGGGUGCGACGCCGCCCCACGCCCUGCGGCGCGAGGCCGGUCACCCCCGCGCUCCGGGUCCCUACUGCCGCCUGCCGGCCCACCGCCCUCCCAAGAGGCGGGCCCCAGCGCCCGUCCCCGACGCACGGUGGCUCGGUAUCCCCAGGCCCCCACACCCGCCGCUUCCUCCCUGCCCCGUCGCACCCUCAGCGCUACUCCACGCCACAACUCCAUCUCUCCCAAGGCAGAACAAGACAAAUCCCAAUGGGUCACAAGGUUUUUGCAGACACACAAAAAAAGGCUCCAAAGGGACUAGGAUUCCGGGAAGGGGCGGAGCUAGUUUCGUUCUUACUUACCUGCAAGAGUAAUUUGUGUGGGAGGAAGCAGGAUAAUACCCUGUUGAACUUGGAACUAAACUUGAAUGUCAUAUAAAAAGAACAAUAAAAAUACACUUCAGAUGCCAACCACAAUGAUAUGCCUUUCCUCUCU